rnacentral:lncRNA from 1 species
CCACUCGGAGUGGCUAUGGUCACACCCCAAUCCCUGUCUUUCUGCAGGCUUGUGGAGAUUACCAAGAAGCGGGCCAUGCAUCAAAGGAGCCUGUUAUCAUCAAGCCCAUGCCGGAUCGGCCAGGAGCACAGACCGCGCCCCGCAAUGGUCCCCUGAGCCAGAAUGGCUCCUUUGGCCCAUGCCCUGUGAACUGCGGUGAGUUCUACCCACUCCCAGGCGCAGAGCCCCAUGCAAGGCAGCCCUCUGCAAGCCUGAACUUCACAGGCUGUGACAUCCCAAGAGCCGACUCAGGUGAGUCUCUCCGGGGCCUUGAGGCCCACACUCAGGGACACUGUGCCACCUGCCCCGGGCACGGUUCCCUGAGCUCUGUGUACUCCAG